CCAACCCCCCCCCAAAAAAAAACCACCCAAAAAACCAACAACAAAAAAAGAAGAAACAAAAACAGAAGUCAGGUGUAUGAAAAUUAAUAUUCUAAAUAAUAAAUAUAAUACUUAACAGCCGUUGGUUAAAAUUUUGCUGUGGUGACGUUAAACUCACAAUAUUUCUUUCCCUUUCAGUACAGAAAUUUUCCUGUGUGGCGUGUAGGUCGCCGGUUUGGGCGAGACCACACUGUCCGUGCGGUAACGCGCUCGAUAAAUGGGGCUGUCCGACCGUGUGUUGCAGGAGCUGUAAAGUGUCUGCCUGGUGUGACCCUCACACGAUAAAGUACUGCCCUCUCAAGUGUCUCGCCGGUUACUGCCACCACCUCAGCAACGGCUGCCCCACCUGUAAGUGCAGGUUACCGUACUGAGCUGCAGGUUACAGUACUGAGCUGCAGGUUACCGUACUGAGCUGCAGGUUACCGUACGGAGCUGCUGGCUGGGAGUCUCGAAAAACCUGGGUUCCAAAGGCAGAUCCGUCUCAGUAGUCGACCUUCUGUGUCCAUCAAAUGAACGUGUGCAAAUGUGUUUGGAUGUUUUAAAGAAUAAAUAAAUAUUUUUCAAUAAAACACAAAAAA